UUAAGCCACGGGAGGCAGCAGUGGGGAAUAUUGCACAAUGGGGGAAGCCCUGAUGCAGCGACGCCGCGUGAGCGAAGAAGUAUUUCGGUAUGUAAAGCUCUAUCAGCAGGGAAGAAAAUGACGGUACCUGAGUAAGAAGCUCCGGCUAAAUACGUGCCAGCAGCCGCGGUAACACGUAUGGAGCAAGCGUUAUCCGGAUUUACUGGGUGUAAAGGGAGCGCAGGCGGCCUGGCAAGUCUGAUGUGAAAUACCGGGGCUCAACUCCGGGACUG
rnacentral:rRNA from 1 species